UCGCCGAGAGAGGAGCCCGCGUAGGAUUAGGUAGUUGGUGGGGUAAUGGCUCACCAAGCCGACGAUCCUUAGCUGUUCUGAGAGGAAGAUCAGCCACACUGGGACUGAGACACGGCCCAG
rnacentral:rRNA from 1 species